UUUUUUUCUUUUUUUUUUUUUUUGGUUGGAUGGUCUCCUGUUGUUAUCUGCUUGAGCGUAUUUUUUUUUUUUUUAUUUUUUGCAAAUGCAAUAUUUGGUUUUGGCUUGUGGUUGCCCUGUAUUUUAAAUAUGCUAACCCCUUCCCAUAAUUGUGUGUUUUAGCCUGAUGGUCCUGUAAGUUCAAACACUUCAUUACUAUAUUAAAAUUAAGAAGAGAAACAUACAAACAAACAAAAAGGUUUAUUUACUUCCUAACAUCCCUUGCCCACAUUUUAUGGUUUUGAUGACUCUUUUUUAUUUUUUUCUUUUUAAUUUUAUUUUGUUUGAAGCAUGUUCAUGAUUAAAACUGUAUGCUGGCUUAUUUGAGUGACUGCUCUCUGAUUGCAGUUUCCUCAGUCCUAGUUCUUCCUCUUCUUCUUCUUCUUUUUUUUUUUUUUCUUUUCUUUUUUCUUCCCUUUCCUUCCUUUCUUUUUGGUUUAGAGAAGCCCUUUCAAUAUUUCCUUUAACUUGGGUUUUGUGUUGCUGUAUUGUUUAAGUUUUUGUUUGUUGGGAAAAAAUUUUAUUUCCCCUUCUAUUUUAAAUGAUAUUCUUGCUGGAUAGAGUAUUCUAGGUUGCAUAUUUUUUCCUUUUAGCACUUUAAAUAUCUCACCAUUCCCUCCUGGCCUGUAGUGUUUCUGUAGAGAAAUCAGCUGAUAUUCUUAUGGGGGUUCCCUUGUAGGUAACAUUCUGUUUUUCUCUUGCUGCCUUUAGGAUCCUCUCCUUAUCACUAACUUUUGCCAUUUUUAUUAUGAUGUGUCUUGGUGUGGGUCUGUUUGGGUUCAGUUUGUUUGGGGCCCUCUGUGCUUAUUGUAUCUUGAACCCAGUAUCCUUUAGAUUUGGGAAGUUUCCAGCGAUAAUUUCUUCAAAUAUAUUUUCCAUCCCCUUAUCUUUUUCUACUCCUUCUGGAAUUCCUAUUAUGCAUAGAUUGGCCCGCUUUAUAUUAUCCCAUAGGUCUCUUAUAUUGCUUUCCAGUUUUUUGAUUCGGUUUUCUGUCUGUUGACUGGAUUGAGUGAUUUCCAUUAUUCUAUCUUCCAUAUCACUGAUUCGUUCUUCUGCAUUAUUCAUUCUGGUUUUUACUGCCCCUAGUUCAGUUUGCAUCUCUGCAAAUGAAUGUUCUGGUUUUUCUUGGCUCCUCCUUAUAUUUUCUACUUCCUUUCUGAGGUAUCUGCAUUACUGUUCAUAUCUUCUCUUAAUUCCUUCAGUAUUUUCACUAUUUCUCUUUUGAACUCCAGGUCUGUCUGACUGCAGAGAUCUGUUUCAUUGCUGCCUGUUUUAGGUGAGUUCUCCUGUUGGUUUGACUGGGGGUGGUUUCUCAGCUUCUUCAUCUUGCUUGUUGUUUUCUGUCUCCUGAGGGAGUUGUACUCUCCGUGAUCGGGCAGUGUUUGCCUUGUCACUGCCGUGGAAUAUUUCCUGAGGGCUGGCGUUGUUGGUCAAUCUUUUUUGAGGCAGUGUGGCUUUUCUGGAGUGUUGAUGGGGCUAACAGUGUUUCUUUGAAGCAAAGGAGGGCUUCCUGAGGGCAGACAGGACUGGGAGGUCCACACCACGAUGGUAGCAGAUUUCACUUGGUCAUGCAGAGCUUGCUCUGGUGUUUUUAGGCUGUGGGGUUCUUGCAGGGGGUUGGCAGUGUUGGAGCAGCUAUCUGGGUCACUGAGAACCUAAGAGGCUCUUCCCUAGGGCAGCCCAACUCAGGACAGCCUGAGAAUGUAGGUGGAUCUUUUCACAGUCUGGCCAAGCUUGUUGCAGCUUUUCUGGGCUGCAGGGGCUCUUCCAGGGGGCUGGUGGUGCUGAGCAGCUAUUCCGUGGGAGUGGGGCACCCCCUGGGGGCUUAGGCUGGUAGCAGGGCCACUGGAAACCCAAGAGGCUCCUCCCUGGGGCAACCCGACUCAGAAAAACCGUCUGAGAUCUUUCCCCGACUCGGCCAGGCUUGUUGCAGCUUUUCUGGGCUGCAGGGGGUCCUGCCUGGAGCUGGCAGUCCUAUGCAGCUGAUCCACUAGGGCACCCCCUGGGGGCUUGGGUGGGUAGCAGGGCCGCUGGAAAUCCAAGAGGCUCCUCCCCGGGGCAACCCGACUCAGAAAAACCAUCCGAGAAUUAGGCCGAUCUAUUCAACACCUGGCUAAGCUUGUUCUAGCUUUUCUGGGCUGCAGGCCUUUUCUCGGGGGCUGGUGGUGUUUGGUGCUGCUCUGCAGAAGUGUAGCCCCUCCAAAGGGCAAACAGACCUGUUCAGGGACAGCCCCUGUGGUGGUAGGCUUCAGGCAAUUGUUGAGGCCAGCCCUCCUGGAUGGCAGGCAGCCCCAGGUUCGGCGAGAGCGUAGGGGGUGGCGGGGGUGGAGGGAGGGGAUGCACUGGGAAGCACAGCUUUCUGCUAGCUAGCGGGCCUGUAAGCUUGCUGUGGCAUGGGGGGUAUUCUAUGGAGCCCCACCCCUUCUUCUCUCCCCUCCCCAGCAUGGGCGCAGACCAGGCUCUUCUCCCAGGUUCCCUCUGAUGCGGCUUUCCACGUCCCCGCCCCUAGAGUAUUGCUCCUUUCCUCUGCGACAGCUUUGUUUUCUAGUCUCCCAGGCAGUCUCUGCCCCAUCAAAUGGUUUCUAGACCUCCCAAGCAGUUUCCGCUCCACCCCGCCCCCCUAGCCUGGGGACUAACCUUCGGAGGCGAGGUCUCGGUGCCCAGCCCCCACCCAAGCGUCCCCCGGCCCUUUCUCGGGGACUAACCUUCGGAGGCAAGGAUUCAGUGCCCAGCCCCCACCCAGGCGUCUCCAUUUUGUCUCCAUUUUUGGUGACCGUGCACGUAGUUCAGAUGGUCCGUUUGGUUCUUGAUCGGCUUUUCCAUACUCCAACUUACUGUUGAACUCUUCUCUGCAUCUGGAGAUUCCUCUGGUUUGUUUGAUCUUUCCCCUGGUAGGUGACUUUCCAGGGUGCGGGAUCCCUUUCUCCUCUGCAGUUCCCUUUCAGGAGCACCCAUCCCGCUGGGAUUCACCUUCUCUCACUCUCCUCUUUUCUCCCAUUCUUCCCAGUAAUGUCACGAACUUCUUGCCAUUAUUGGAGUUUAGGUUCCUCUGCCAGCGAUUGGUUGCUGUUCUGUGCGAGUCAUUUAUUCUGUAGAUAUGCUUUUUUUGUUGUGUUUGUGGGAGAGGGCGAGCGUGUCCCCCUACUCCUCCUCCAUCUUGUCUUCUGCCUAUUUUGUGAUUUAAAUCAUUUUAAUGGGCAGUUCACUACAAAAUGAAAAGCAAAAAUCUAACUAAGCUAGUUGCAAUCAAUUACUGUUUGCCUAGGGUCCAUUGUUUUAAGCAUCUUCUCAACUUAAAAAAAAAAAUAAACAAAGUAAAUUAUAAUAAAAUACAUCUUGUUUUGUUAGAAAGUGUUUUACCAGUUACAUUUUGUACUGAAUUUCAAUUUCCUGAAUGCCUUAUCUCCUCUAAUCUCAGUUGAAAACAAUCAAAUCCCACUGCUUCCUUGGAGAUAACCAGAAAAUACAUUUUAGCUUAAUUUUAUCAGGAUGGAAAAGUCUCCUCCUUUAAACAUUCUUGUGGAAAAAAAGGCCAAUUCUUUGGCAAUGUUUGCUGAUAUAAACCAAGGUGUGUCUGUGCUAUUCAGUCUUAAACUUUACACUGUAAGUUUUAGGAAAGUACAGGACAUGCCCCACUAUAUUUCCAUUGUCUGGCAUGAAUGAAUGAGUAAAUAAUUAAAAAUUUUAGAACUCUCUGAUUUUAUUUAUUUAUUUAUUUUGCCUUUUCUAGGGCCUCUCCUGCGGCAUAUGGAGGUUCCCAGGCUAGGGAUCUAAUCGGAACUGUAGCCACCAGCCUAUGCCAGAACCACAGCAACGCAGGAUCGAAGCCGCAUCUGUGACCUACACCACAGCUCAGGGCAACGCUGGAUCAUUAACCCACUGAGCAAGGCUAGGGAUUGAACCUGCAACCUUACGGUUACUAGUUGGAUUUGUUAACCACUGAUUCCCAACGGGAACUCCAGAACUCUCAGAUUUUAAAUAUUUAUCUCUCCUAUUUCUCAAACUACUGACAGAUUUUUGCUUUUAAUCUUUCCUCAAAAAUUUGCAUGCUUACCAAAGACCUAUAAAGUAAAAGGAAAAGGAAAUUGUGAGGUGUACACACAUAGAGAAUAUAGAUAAAAAGGAUGGCUCUUAGAGUAGAUUGCCUACCUUUGAUCUUCAUUCUGAUUCUUAGAGGUUUAUUUUUAGCUGAGACACUAAAAUCUUGCAAACUCCAUAGUCUUUUUGAUCCUUUCUGGAUAUAAAAAUAGUAUAUCAUCUCUUUGGGUCAUCGUGAAUGCAUGGCAUGCAGUGAUCAACCAAUUAAUGUUAAAUACUAUUAUUUUUAUUUUGUUAUUUCUAGUCUAUUCUACUUCAGAAUUCAAAUAUUUCCUUGAGCUGACAUCAAACUGCUUUCUCACCUUCAGCUCCCAGUAGAUUCUCACUGUUCUUUAGCAACACUUGUUUGCUGACCAUUUUUAAGAUGUUAUUCUACACAUUUUACAUCUCUAGGCCUGUUUAUACAAAUUUAAACUCUUUCUCAAGGUACAAUUUAAACAUCCUCUGGGAUGGAUUACUGACCUCCAAGUCAACUGCAUCCUAGCAGGUGGAUUUUCUGUAUCAUGAACAGCACUUUGAAUUUUGUAGCAAGGGGAAAGUAAGCAAGCAUUGUGUGGACACUUUUUAGAAACUCUUCGAAAAGUAACACAGAUGUAAGAUAGAUUUUCUUUGAAAUUUUCCCUGCUUCCCUUUGCUCUCCUCUAGAUAAAGCACUUUCAGUUGAACUUCCAGCUUCCCAUUUGAAUCAUAAGUAAAACAAGGACAGGAGCCUUGCACUGUAAGAUGGAAUGGCAGAAAAACAGGAGCCUAGGUUCCUGAUGACCUCUGAACUUCUUUUAUGUAAGAGAAAACAAAUUGCUUUUCUUGUUUAAACAAUCAUAGUUUGAGUUUUCUCUUGUGUAUAACUAAGGUGUUAUUACCCUAGUUAAGGUGCUAAUUAAAAUGAUAAUCAAUUCAUUUAAUUAUGAUGACUGAAUUGUACAAUAAGAAUGCACCUAUUACUUCAAUUAAAACAAAAAAAUCAGAGAUUGCUAGAUCAAAUUUUACUCUCUACUUAAGAAUAGAGAUACAGGGAGUUCCCUUCUUGGCUCAGUGGUUAAGGAACCCGACUAGGAUCCAUGAGGAUCAGGGUUUGAUCUCUGGCCUCGCUCUGUGGGUUGAGGAUCCAGUGUUGCCCUGAGCUGUGAUGUAGUUCGAAGGUGCAUCUCGGAUCUGGUGUUACUAUGGCUGUGGUGUAGGCUGUCAGCUACAGCUCUGAUUCUACCCCUAGCCUGGGAACUUCCAUGUA
rnacentral:lncRNA from 1 species